GAUGACGAGUGGCGGACGGGUGAGUAACACGUAGGAAUCUACCGAGUAGCGGGGGAUAGCCCGGAGAAAUCCGGAUUAAUACCGCAUGUGCACUUCGGUGUAAAGAGGGCCUCUUCUUGAAAGCUCUCACUAUUCGAUGAGCCUGCGUCAGAUUAGCUUGUUGGUGGGGUAAUGGCCUACCAAGGCGACGAUCUGUAGCUGGUCUGAGAGGAUGAUCAGCCACACUGGGACUGAGACACGGCCCAGACUCCUACGGGAGGCAGCAGUGGGGAAUAUUGGACAAUGGGCGCAAGCCUGAUCCAGCAAUACCGCGUGUGUGAAGAAGGCCUUCGGGUUGUAAAGCACUUUCAAUAGGGAGGAAGGCUUAAUGGUUAAUACCCAUUGAGAUUGACGUUACCUAU
rnacentral:rRNA from 1 species